GUGAUCUGAGGGGGAGGCGCUGCUCUCCGGGAGUUGGUGCGUUUGAAGGUUUGAUGGCUACAGAGAGCAGAAAAUGUCAAAAAUAUCCGCACAGUGUGCGCGCUAUUAUCUGGUUUAAAACCAGCUAAAGACACGAAGAAGUUAGUGAGCAGCUUCUUCUGCAGCCCUGGUUUAAGAGGAGCCUGCAGGGCCUCAGCUCUGAUGCUGGUGUCAGGAGGAGCAGGAGGUGAAAGGCUUCAGCAGAGGAGAGCAGGCAGAUGGCUGACAGUGAGAGGUGAGCAGAGCUGGAAGGAGGGAGGACAGAUGGACUGUGUGGUCAGAGGUGGAUGAAGAGGGGAGAUCAUACGGUCAAAUUCAGUGCAAAGCAGCUGCUGUGUUCAGUCAACAUGAUGAUGCUGCUCAUCUUCAUCACAUGUUGUCCGCUCCAGCUGUGUGAGCAGAGCAGCAGCAGAGAUGGAGGCUGAUGAUGGUCUGGAUCAUCAGGUUUCUUUGGCUGUGCGAUGGAGAGCCACUCCUUACUAAACCACAUCCUGGAGAGGGCGUCCGUCCAGCUUCAGGAUCGCCUGGCAUGAGUUUGUGGAGGGCCUGGGCUUUUGGAGGGUCCCGCUGCUGCUGCUGGUGGUCAUCACCCUCCUCUCCCUGGGCAACACCUACUCUGUGACCGAGGCUCUCACACAUUGUCAUUUCAUCCCUGUUUGCUCUGUGAUAAGCUGUGUAUUGCUAAUGUUUUGUAUCUUUGAUUUUCUCUUCACUUGUUAUUUAUUCAAAUGUCUUCUGCAUGAAUUUUCCCCUUGCUGUCUUUAUUUUAUACAAAUACCUGCAGCAUUUAUUUAGAGAGCGUCUCAGUCUGACUGGAAACAGUUCUGACUUUAUUCAUCAAAUGUUUGAAGUAAUUUAAUGUGCAAAAUGAAUAAAAUCAUGUAUGAAUGACUGUAAUCUUAAUCAGGGGAGAGUCACUUUAUCAACUUUAUGGACACAGUUUCUGUG